rnacentral:rRNA from 1 species
UACGUAGGGUGCAAGCGUUGUCCGGAAUUAUUGGGCGUAAAGGGCGCGUAGGCGGCUCAACAAGUCAAUUGUGAAAUCUCCGGGCUUAACCCGGAGCGGCCAAGUGAUACUGUCGGGCUAGAGUGCGGAAGGGGCUACUGGAAUUCUCGGUGUAGCGGUGAGAUGCGUAGAUAUCGAGAGGAACACCUGCGGCGAAGGCGGGUAGCUGGGCCGACACUGACGCUGAUGCGCGAAAGCCAGGGGAGCGAACGGG